rnacentral:lncRNA from 1 species
UCGGGGAUGUCUCAGUUCUCCUUCACACUUUUCUCACGAACCGUCUGUCUCCCUCCUGUUCGCUCCUAGUUAUGUCGUUCUUUCGGUCAAGUUUGGCCGGGUACCUGUUAAUUAUACUCCGACGCUCAAGUCAGUUUCAAUUCUCAAGGUUAGAAAUAGAAAGAGAGUGAAAUAAAUGUGCAUUCAAUGUAACCAACUACCUCUUACCUUUGACUCUUAUUUAUAGUUUUUC